AUGCAAUUGCUCUUUUUUGUUCUUGCUUGCUGGCUUUGUCUCUACUCUGGAUGCAACUGCUUUCUCUUUAGGAAUGCUUCUCAGCUCCUCCCCCUCCACGACAGCCAGCAUUGGUGGUCUCUCAGUUUUUUUAUGGGGAAAGAGAAGUGGAGACAGUGGGAAGGGGGGAACUACUGCCAGGUGAAUAACUUGGAACCCCAUUGUCACUGUUAUAUCUUCUUCUAUUCUUAUCUUUCCUCCUCAAGCAAGUAUACCCAUUUUUUUUCUCCCGAAAAGAGGGUAAAAUCCCCCAUCAUCCAUUGA
rnacentral:rRNA from 1 species